UACGAAGGGGGCUAGCGUUGCUCGGAAUUACUGGGCGUAAAGCGCACGUAGGCGGUCUUUUAAGUCGGUGGUGAAAUCCUGGAGCUCAACUCCAGAACUGCCUUCGAUACUGGAAGACUUGAGUCCGGGAGAGGUGAGUGGAAUUUCCGGUGUAGCGGUGAAAUGCGUAGAUAUCGGAAGGAACACCUGUGGCGAAAGCGGCUCACUGGACCAUAACUGACGCUGAGGCGCGAAAGCUAGGGGAGCAAACAGG
rnacentral:rRNA from 1 species